GUUUGUGUUUAGGUGUGUUACUUUAUCCUUCAUUUGGAAUUUUUUGUGGAUUAUUAUUAAAAUAUCACAUUUGACCUUCAUCAUCUGCCUGUUUCCUGCCAGUCUACAAACUCUGCUGACAGGACCCCAAAUGAAUUAUGCAGUGUGAUUUGCUGCUGUGGCUCAGAAGAGCUAGGACUUUGUUUUCACAGAGGAGUUUUGCUGUCUUGCCAUCACCUGCCCCAAUGACGAUGAGACCCUGAAGUUACUAUUCUGGGUCGGGGUGAAUUAUCACCAUCUCCUUGAUCUCCCAGACACCAUAGACUGUCAUUAGAUGGAGAGUUCCCCGAUCCAGAGAACAGCCAGACCCAGAGCCUGUACCAAUGAUCAUGAAGAAAUCGUGUGAGUCCCCUGCAGACGUUGAGGGAAAACCUACCACAACAAGUGAGCCACAGCCCAAGCAACAGAGGACAGCGCUUACCAUUGCCCCGGAAGGGGAGCCCCAGAGUGAGUCUGACCAGGGGUGUGAGCCCUCAACACCAGUGGCUGAGGUAACUGAGAUGGAGGACUGGCUGAUAGAUUUCAAUGUGGAGGUAUUAACUCCCAUCCUAUCCCAACCAGUACCUGAAUCAUCAUUGCUGUAUCUAGACAGCAGAAAGAACCGUUUGGAUUGUGAUUUCAGUUUGUUCUGAAUCGAUGCUGUUUAAGGACCACAUUAAAGACUAUAUAGGCUUGAUUUAAUUUCUUCAACCUGCAAGGACUGUCAUUCUCACAGUGAUCUUGUCUAGUUUUGUUUCAUUGUUACCACAGAGCUCAGCCAGUCCUCCAGCCCCACUACUGCUGGAUGUUUACAGCCCUUUUCUGUCUUGGGUUGUCCUGCUGUGAUGUUGCACUACCGGUUAAGCAACCACCAGCAGCACCAGUGCAAUACGAUCCUGCUGCUUCGACUCCAGCCUCUGCUCAUCUCGGCUUGUCAACCUGUCACCUCCUCCUGUGCUCCACUAGAGACCCUCAGCCUUACAGCUCCUCCUGGUUCCCUUGUCCCACUGGCUCCCCCUUGGUCAGUCGUCACUCUACUUCCACUUCAGACUUAUGGGCCGUUCGCUACAGUCUGACCCUACACCCCUAUGGCUACAGCAGGUUCCUACUUCCCUUCGGGUACGCCUUAGUCUUCAGUCACACAAGACCGCAGCUUCACCUAGGUCUCCAGUACCUGUGACCUCACUCCGCUCGAUUAGUCCUCUGUCCGCACCUUCAGAUCCACCUGUUCAGUCGUCCCCCAGGUCCUCACCGCCACACCUCGCCCUUGCUCCGAGUGGGCCUCGAACCUGGGUUUCCGGCAUGGGAGGCAGACGCACUAACAAGGAGGCUAAAUGAUUGCAGCCACUAGCGUC
ensembl:lncRNA